UCGCUACUUAACUAGCUGAAUACUGAUAUUUUUGGCUCAAAUUAACCUCUAUUUGAUUACCAAACUAGGGGAUGAAGCACUUGCGGCGGUUGCUCCUAAGUGGCUGCCAACAAAUUGGGGAUGUUAGCCAUGUCAAGAGGACGCCCUGAACUCAAAUUCUUGAGAUUUGAGUUGCCAAGGGCCUCAUGUUGUUGGUAAGUUUUUGAACAUUUCCAUUUCUACUUUGAGAUUUUGUUGUAUAUGAAAACUGGGACUUUGUCAGGAUAAAAGGACUUCAGGUUCGUUUGUAUGGAGACUCUUGUCAUUUAUUUCCCUCUUGAUAUUCUUAAAUUUAUCAUCUCUUAUUAUUAGGCAUGAUGACAAGCAUUAGGGAAGUUGACAGCCAUGCGCUGAAGUUGCCAGGUAAAAUAUGUACGAAUUACUGGGAGCAAAAGAAUAUAAACCCCUUAAUCCCACCAAAGUAAGAAAGAAAUGUGUUAUAUUUUAAUACAACUUGUAAUAAAAAUCUUCCCAUAUAAUAACGCUGCAAGCAGUGGCGGAUCCAGGAUUCCGAACAAGGGUGUUCAAUAUUAUAAAGAAGUGAACAGUAAAAAUUUCAUCGAAGGGGUUCAUCGAAAUUUGUUGAAUCCAAAUGUAAUGUCAAACAGGUGCAUAAAAUAAAAUCUAAAUAGGAACUAAACUAUCGUCGAAACUCAUGCUAACGAUAUGUUGAAAACGCACACGUACU
rnacentral:lncRNA from 1 species